UAGGGAAUCUUCCACAAUGGACGCAAGUCUGAUGGAGCAACGCCGCGUGAGUGAAGAAGGUUUUCGGACCGUAAAGCUCUGUUGUUGGUGAAGAAGGAUAGAGGUAGUAACUGGCCUUUAUUUGACGGUAAUCAACCAGAAAGUCACGGCUACCACGUGCCAGCAGCCGCGGUAAUACGUAGGUGGCAAGCGUUGUCCGGAUUUAUUGGGCGUAAAGCGAGCGCAGGCGGAAGAAUAAGUCUGAUGUGAAAGCCCUCGGCUUAACCGAGGAAUUGCAUCGGAAACUGUUUUCUUGAGUGCAGAA
rnacentral:rRNA from 1 species